rnacentral:rRNA from 1 species
GUAAGGAAUAUUGCGCAAUGGGCGAAAGCCUGACGCAGCGACGCCGCGUGGGGGAUGAAGGUCUUCGGAUUGUAAACCCCUUUCGGGAGGGAAGAUGGGAUGGGGUAACCCAUUCGGACGGUACCUCCAGAAGCAGCCACGGCUAACUUCGUGCCAGCAGCCGCGGUAAUACGAAGGUGGCAAGCGUUGUUCGGAUUUACUGGGCGUACAGGGAGCGUAGGCGGUUGGGUAAGCCCUCCGUGAAAUCUCCAGGCUUAACCUGGAAAGUGCAGAGGGGACUGCUCGGCUAGAGGAUGGGAGAGGAGCGCGGAAUUCCCGGUGUAGCGGUGAAAUGCGUAGAGAUCGGGAGGAAGGCCGGUGGCGAAGGCGGCGCUCUGGAACAUUUCUGACGCUGAGGCUCGAAAGCGUGGGGAGCAAACAGGAUUAGAAACCCUUGUAGUCC